GUGGGGAAUUUUGGACAAUGGGCGCAAGCCUGAUCCAGCAAUGCCGCGUGCAGGAAGAAGGCCUUCGGGUUGUAAACUGCUUUUGUACGGAACGAAAAGGCUCUGGUUAAUACCUGGGGCUCAUGACGGUACCGUAAGAAUAAGCACCGGCUAACUACGUGCCAGCAGCCGCGGUAAUACGUAGGGUGCAAGCGUUAAUCGGAAUUACUGGGCGUAAAGCGUGCGCAGGCGGUUUUGUAAGACAGACGUGAAAUCCCCGGGCCCAACCUGGGAAUGGCGUUUGUGACUGCAAAGCUGGAGUGCGGCAGAGGGGGAUGGAAUUCCGCGUGUAGCAGUGAAAUGCGUAGAUAUGCGGAGGAACACCGAUGGCGAAGGCAAUCCCCUGGGCCUGCACUGACGCUCAUGCACGAAAGCGUGGGGAGCAAACAGGAUUAGAUACCCGUGUAGUCC
rnacentral:rRNA from 1 species